rnacentral:rRNA from 1 species
GAUGAACGCUGGCGGCGUGCUUAAUACAUGCAAGUCGAACGGUGAAGGCGUAGCUUUAUCUGUGGGGUGAGUGCCGAACGGGUGAGUAACACGUGAGCAAUCUGCUCCUGAUCCUGCGUUACGCGCUGGAAACGGCGCCUAUUACAGGAUAUGAGCUGCCAAGGCAUCUUCAGCAGCUGUAAAGCAUUGCGGUCAGGGAUGAACUCGCGGCCUAUCAGCUUGUUGGUGAGGUAAUGGCUCACCAAGGCGUCGACGGGUAGCCGGCCUGAGAGGGUGACCAGCCACACUGGGACUGAGACACGGCCCAGAGUCCUACGGGAGACAGCAGUGGAGAAUACUGCACAAUGGGCGAAAGCCGGAGGCAGCAACGCCGCGUGAGGGAGGAUGGCCUUCGGGUUGGAAACCUCUUUUAGCAGGGAAGAAGCGAACGUGACGGUACCUGCAGAAAAAGCGCCGGCUAACUACGUG